rnacentral:misc_RNA from 1 species
GAAAAGUUAUAAUUUCCUACAUGGGUAAGGUCUAGUCUUCUUUAUUUUAUUAUAAUAGUUCUUCAUUGCACAUACAGAAACUAUUCUUGCUGUCUCUACAGAAAGAAAAGAAGUUAAAUGCCUAUUUAUAGGCAAGCAAAAGCUCAAAUGGUAUUAAAGAAGGAAAGAAAAUUGGAAUUGAGAGGAUGAAUAUAUAACACGAUAAUGAAUAUAUGAACAGUAUAAGAUAGCAA